UGACAAACACUAUUUCAAAACAUAAUCCU
rnacentral:sRNA from 1 species